CCCCCAAAAUCUGCAACAGUGCAGGAACAAGGAAGGGUAACACUGAUCGAAGGCGGAGAAGGCUGUGCCGUCCAGCCAGACCAUCCCUUUACAGUAGUCCAGAGUCACCUGGAAAAGAACUCCCUCCUUGAAGAAUGUCCCAGGCUCCCCCCAAAAUCUGCAACAGUGCAGGAACAAGAUAUUCAUGAUCCAGACCAGCCAAGUUGUGAAAGCCUCCUUUGUGAAGGUGAGGUGUUUGCUGCUUGUUUCAGAUGCCAAGCUUUACUAUGUUUUGAACAUUUUGAUAAUAGUGAAGAAUGUGAUUGC